AUUUUGCUCACUUAAAGCGAUUUACUUUAACAAAAAUAAUAUUUCUGACGUUUCAUAUAAGCUACGCGAGAUUAACGCUUCUAAUUACAAACAGUGCAAUGUAAUGGCCAGCGCUUGGCGGAAGUAUUGGCGCUAGAUGACUCACCGCUCGGAUUGAGAAGUGUAAAAAAGAAUCAACGCUGAUAAGGUCGGGGAGCACGCUCUGGCACGUAGGAUGCUAUCUGCUAAAAGGCUCUUCAGGUCACGUGAACCCAAGUACAAAUUAAAAGUUCUGAGUGAAUUGGCUAGCACAAUUGAAAUUGACAAAGACAUACCCUUGAAGCGGUACAUCAGGUCUGGCAAGGAGAUGUUGCGAUCGGCUGAAGUAUAUCACAAGGAAGGAGACAUCGAGAGAAGCUAUAUGCUUUAUAUCAAGUAUAUCACACUGUUUGUAGAAAAAAUAUAUGAUCACCCUGCUAUGAAGGCACCUCCAGUACCUGAGUUGGCCGAAGUAAAGAAGAAAUUGAAUGAAGUUUUUCCUAUUGCCGAAUAUUUGAGAGCUCAGAUCUUUGAAAAGUACACCGAAGAGUACAAUAUUUUACUCAGAAACAAGGAAAAAGCAGAUGCCGAAGCAGCACUUGAGGAAGAGCGUAGACAGAAAGAGCAGCUGGACCAGCUUAUGUAUGAACAACAUGAACAAUUCGCGUUGCAGCAACGACAACAACAGGCAAAGAUGGCCCAGCCUAAGAGGCCAGAGAUUCAGCUGCCCCCGCCUGGUGGUAUAUCUCCUUCUAAUGUUUACCCAGUGCUCCUUGAGAUGGAGAAUGGUGUUUGUGGCACUCCUCGGCCCAAGACGCCUCCUUUCCCAACUCUGAGCGACAUUGAAGUGCCAGACAUUCCUCCUAGGGCUUCAAAACCUUCUGCUUUUCCCUCGGCACCUGUGGAUGUGGUAAGGAGGGCAAUUCCAGCCGUGGAUCGGAGCACGAAGCCGUUGCCGUUGCUCAGUACAGAGCCCUACUAUUCUACGGCCCAGGGGCUACGAACUGUUGUUUUGCCAGGAAGCCUUGUCUCCAAGUUUCUUCACAUUGCUCGACAAAAUACUGAGAAGAAUAUUGAGACGUGUGCUAUUAUGGCAGGAAAGUUAGCAAAGAAUCAGCUGAGCAUCAGCCACCUUUUGGUACCAAGGCAGUCUGGAACUGCCGAUGACUGCUGCACGGAAAGUGAAGAAUUAGUGAUCGGGUUUCAGGAUGAGCUGGGCCUUGACACGAUUGGAUGGAUACAUACCCACCCAACACAGACUGCUUUUUUGUCCAGUGUAGACCUCCACACCCACUGCAGUUACCAGCUGAUGUUGCCUGAAUCUGUGUCAAUAGUGUGCGCUCCAAAAUAUGAUGAGAACAAAAUCUUCAGCUUGACUUUUGAUCAUGGUUUGCCAUUCAUCUCUGGAUGCCGUGCUACUGGUUUCCAUCCACAUCCUAAAGAGCCACCACUGUAUGAGGUUCAGAAGUACAGUCAACAAUGCCGUUAAUAUAUACAUGUUAAAUAAUAAACGUCCAAGAACACUUCCUUGGGGAACGCCAGAAGUUACCGGAAGAAUACUUGAAGAGCAGUUAUCGAUUGCAAGGAACUACCUACGGUUAGUAAGGAAUCUAGGCAUGUCAAGGUGGAUGACAACGCAGCGAUCACAGUGGUGGAUUUUCGAGGAUGAAAAUGAGCAU
rnacentral:misc_RNA from 1 species